AAACCAGCACCUCAAGUGGUCAGGAUGAUUAUUGGGCCUAAAGCAUCCGUAGCCUGCUCUGUAAGUUUUCGGUUAAAUCUGUACGCUCAACGUACAGGCUGCCGGGAAUACUGCAAAGCUAGGGAGUGGGAGAGGUAGACGGUACUCGGGAGGAAGUGGUAAAAUGCUUUGAUCUCUCGAUGACCACCUGUGGCGAAGGCGGUCUACCAGAACACGUCCGACGGUGAGGGAUGAAAGCUGGGGGAGCAAACCGGAUUAGAAACCCGGGUAGUCC
rnacentral:rRNA from 1 species